rnacentral:lncRNA from 1 species
UUUCCAGUGUGGAGUUAUCAAAUCCCAGUGGUCAUGUUCUGUGUCUGUCUUCUGCUGGUCUUUUUACUGAUUGUGGGCAUUUACUGGCUGAUCAGAAAACAAGGUCAGAACCAUGUAAUUCUGUCCGUAAUAUGUGUACUACAAUUCGGAAUUAUAAUCUAUAUACUACUUUCUCUUUUGUCAGGGGUUGGGAAUCUGUGUUGUAGAAGAACACCACCAAAUGAUGUUCAAUUAUCAGAUGAAAGGGAAAGUAACAUUUCAAACAUGGAGGAAGAAUCCUGUGAUGAAUUUGACAGUUUGUCAGAGGAAGAUAUCUCAUACCAAAAUGUUCCGGAUUUAACACAGACCAAUGAUAUGAUAGAAGAUCCAGGACAAGGUGAGUUUAGUGUGUAAAAAUAUAUUUUAUACAGUUAGCUUAUUUAAGGCUUUUGGAUUUUUGUGUGUGUCAGGCCUGGGCUGAAAACCUCUAGGUAAAAUACACUGUUUUUCAUAAAUUACUGUAUAUACUAGUUUCCAUCUUUUAAUCUCCAAAACAGAGGCUGAUGACACAUACCAAGAUAUUUUGGUAAGCUGUUCAUUCCAAUAAUCUUUGGCUAAUGUUUACAAAUCAUUGUUAUAAUUCUCUUAGGUAUAGAUGCUUUCACGUCUACACUGAAGUUCUACCUCCUUUAAAUUUCCACAUUAUUUUCAUUUCAUUUUUUCAGGAUUUUACCAGGAUCAAGCAUACAGUUGAAGUUCCAUGUCAAGGUGAAUUCAAUGUUUUAAACUAUAUUUUCCACAGUUAGCAUAUUGAAGGCUUUUGGAUUUCUGUGUAUGUCAGCCCUUUAUGUCCAGAGGCGGCUCUUGGCAGGUGGUGUAGUAGAGCAGGACCAAAUGGUGACAGAAUAUUCAACAGACAAGUAUUGUGAUUUUGAAAGCAAUUACAAUUAUUGCUCAAAGAAAUAAAACUUAUACUACUCUUUUGCUCUGUUAACAUGCAUGGCAAUAAUAAAUAAUACUGGCAGGUGGAAAUCAUGGGUUUAGGAUGGUGGCCCAGAAAUGCCAAACACAACCGCUAAUACAAGUACAUCCCAGAAUGCAAAAACUUACCACUAAUACGAUGAUACACUCCCAAUAGAAAUGAUUCUCCCAAUAAUGCUAAAUAUAACCAAUAUUAUGAUUACAUACUCCCAAUUCACAGAGAACAAUACCCCUUCCCCAAAUAUGAACGCACCGCCGCAAUACCGCAAAAAUGUACCACUAGUAUGAUGACACAGUCCCCAUUGAAUACAUGGCCAUUUCUAUAUAAUUUCAUUGUUUUAACUGUACAAUGGCCCAUGGGAGUGUUUUUAAGUGCUUGCUAUUUUUUGUCCUGUUACAAUUAUCUUUAUUAAGGAUUUGCACAACCAGUGCACCAUGGC